GGCUCUAAACAGCGUGUUCAACAAGCGGCUCCUUACUUAUGCUGAAUAAGUCAUUGAUAUAAAACAACUGUAAACAAGCUGCUAAGUGUACAAAAUAUGUAUCGUUCUUACAUUGGAUUGGAAUUUGCGUCCAUUUUUUAAUAUUUAUUAGUGUUAGUGGUGAUACUUUAGUUCCAGUUAGUUCAUUGUGAUAAUAGUUCAGUCUCGAGCAUCACGGCUCAGUAGGCAUCGGUAAAGAUAAAACGGAGCUAUUUUCUCUCUUCUCGGAACUUUUACGCCACAAAGCAGUAUGAAGUGAGUCCUCUUUUUACUCCAAAGCGAGUGAGCACUCCAGGCUCAUCGGCUGUGUCAUCUGACCUGUGCUGCUGAGUCAGUGUGACAUCACGUUUACCUCUCCGGCCUAAAGAUGCGCACCAGACAAAUCGAGUGUGACCUUUUGUGGCUCUGAGCUUACUCCAUGGCUAGUCCUGUUUUAAAUUGGUGACCAUUCAGCGCCAAGCUGGACCCGAGGACUCAGCCUCCCGACACCCGUUCCUGUUCCACCGCCCCGGCCCCUGAACACUCCUCGGAUCACAGACGCAUACCUGAGCUCCACGGACCAGAGCUGCUAUUAGCCAGUGAGGAAGAGUGGGAGGAGGAGGAGGAGGAGGAGGAGGAGUACGUCGGUGUGCCCGCUGCACUUGAGGAGUUCAAAGCCACCUGCAAAGAUGCCGAGACCAUUACUGAUGUGUGUAACAGUGCUGACCUGCCAGAGCUCGAGAUUGUCAGCCUAUUGGAGGAGCAGCUGCCUGUCUACAAGCUGAGGGCCGACACCAUCUUCGGUUAUGAUCAGGAUGAUUGGCUGCACACGCCAUUGGUGGACCCCGACUCUUCCCUUGACCUUACCAAUGAGCAGAUAGAAGAGACCUUCAAAUACUUUUGUAAGUUCAUCUCUAAUUUGCAGUUCUAUCUAAUUAAAAACGAACACUGUAAUCAUAAUAAUAAUAACAACCAUACUUAGAAAAUUCUUAUUGAUUUAAGUCGGAGAG